rnacentral:rRNA from 2 species
CUUGACGACCAUAGAACAUUGGAACCACCUGAUCCCAUCCCGAACUCAGCAGUGAAACGAUGUAUCGCCGAUGG